GAGGCUGUAAAGAUACUGGGGGGAGAGAAGAAACGCCCGGCCUUAAGUCCCAGCCCGCGGUGCUCAAGCUCGAGGGGAGCAGCCGGUUGUAACCAUCCCUGUCCGUGCCACCGUCGGCUGCAGCCUCGGUGCCCCAUCGCCCGGAGCUGGCAAGACCUGAGAGUGAGGAGCUUGGGCGCGCUCGGGCCAGCUCCCCCCGCCCCACCCCACUCUGCGGCGCGCACGGGCCAGCGCAUUAAGGAGUGGGCUUCUGGCCCUGGUUUAGCCACAAAAGACGAGACAUAAAAGAGUUCCAGCUCGAGAGGCUGGGCAGGGGCGGCGGUGGGGUAGGGAGGGGGCGUCCCUUCCCCGCGCUCCCUGCAGGGCCGCGCGUUCUCGUCCCUGGGUUAGACUGGCGGGGGGCGGGGGAGAACAGGGCUUGUGUCAGCCCAGAUCCAGGCAAAAAUGGUAGGGAGGGUGAGGCGCUCUGCUAACACUAUCAAUUAUGCAUCGUGUUGAACGAGGCUUCGGGGAGGAGGCGCUAGCAGGGGCGCGGGAGGGAAGGGUCCGCGAGAGCCCGGCUGCGCGCAGCUCCGGCGGGUCCCGCUCGAGUCUGCGCCACCGCCUGCGUUUGCAGAAAGAGUUUAAAGGCAAAGACGCGCCUCCCCCCUUCAGCCGCGCGCCUUCCCUUCCCCCAAAUUCCUCAAAGAUGGUUUGUCUCACGUGUUGCGGGGCGUAAGAGCGGAUCGCAUUCGGUUAGCAGCGGAGCUCACGGGCGCUGGCGGGACUGGCGCGUGAGGCCGCAGCAACAGAUGCUGGAAGCGUCCUUGGACUGUGGUCCCUGCUCCCACACACUGAGUCUGGACAAGGCGUUGCAGCCCAAGGAGGGCGUACCGGGAGUCAGUGAACAGCCGAAGCCCAGCCCCAGAGCCCUGGCAGCUCUCAGGCCGUGUGCCUCAAGAGGAAAGAAGGAAUGGAGAGCAGAGGGGAGACUCGCUCAGAGCACAUUCUUGGUGGUGGUGUCCGUGUCGCUGGGCUGUGAGCUCCACAGAGGCAGCCCACGGUCACUCUCAUCCCCUGCUCUGUCCCCAGACCUGGCUCACUGCCUGCCUUGCAACAGAAGCCCAGGAUGUACUUGGGGAACGAAUGGAACAGUGAGUGUCUCCGGACUAUGUAAGCUGCCUAGUGACCGUCACCCAGAACAGUGACUGCAUGCUUUCUGCCAGUCUGGGGAAAGUCCCUCUGCUCACUCUAGGCCCAACUCAUGGCCCAUCUGGUCAUUUCUUUUCCUCCUCUCAUGCCUGCCCAUUCCACUGCCCCUUCCCUUGCCACCGCUUCUCCUCUGGGCUGUUGGCACAGCCUCCUCCAACAACGCUCCCUGCCCCCAUCCCCUUCUCUCCCCCACUUUCUAAUCUGCCUCAUCUGCGUGAGAUUCUGAAUUCAUAUGUCCCAGCUCUUACCCUGUAGCCGCCACAUCCAAGACUAUACUGGCUCCAGGAUGACCACAGGAGGAGAGCCAGCAGUCCGGCCUGGCUCCCUUCCUGCAUCCCAGCUCCCUCUGGCCCUCUGGCAGGCUCAGGCUUUGCUCGAAGUCUGCCGUCACCUCUUUGAUCCUGCCCUUUCCUGCCGCUGCCUGUCCCAUCCAAUCUGCAUGGCCCUCAACAGAAGGGAGAACUAGGGCUUGAGAAUCAGAGAUGUGGGUUUGAACUCUGGUCCCCUAGUUCCUACCCGAGGGGACAAUGACAAAUUCUUUAACCUGAGCCUCAAUGUUCUUUUCUCUAAAACAGGCAAUAAAAGUACCUACCUGUGUCCUUGUGUGUCUAUAAGGAGAAUGUGUGUACAAAGGGCCUGGCACAUGGGACAGCUUAAAGAAUGGUAGAUAUGAUUUUCGGUAAAUCCUAUAAGUAUAAAAAGAAAAAAAAGGCUAAAAAUGGAGCUAUAAUUUUUUUCUCAGUCCUCUACCAGCCAAAACACCGGAGGAAACUUCACUAAGCCUGCUGAAUACACUGCCGCAAGGGGACAGGGCGUCGAGUGUGGGUGCUGCCGCCCCAGCCUAGUGGGCCACGCCCUGAAGAGAAGCUCCCCCAACUCCCGUGCACCUUGGGAGGGAGGCCUCCUGGGCUGAAAGGCCAAGUGCGCCACGACGACGGGAAACCGGGAAACCGCAGGGAAGACAGGCCAGAAGCAGAGCCCUUCCAUGCUCAACCGCAGGCAUUUGGGACUGGCUCACGAGUGAGCACUAUGGAUGGGGAAGAUUCAGACAGACAGACAGACAGACAGCCUGUGGUCCCCCGACUGGGAGCUCCCUGAGGGCAGAGUCAUGAGCCUAAAGAUGGUUUGAGUAAGGGUGCCUCCAGAUUCCUGCUGAAACUUAGUCCCCGGUGCAACAGUGCUAAGAGGCGUGGCCUUUCGGAGGCGAUGAGUCAUCAGGGCUCUGCCCUCACAAUGGAAUGGGAGUAGGUGCCCUUCUAGAAAGGGUGGAUUUGGGGAGUGCACCCUUUUCCUCCCUUUCUGUCCUUCUGCCGCGUGAGGACACAGCGUCCCCCCUCUGGAGGGUGCAGCAACACCAUGCGUCCUGGAAGCGGAGGGCAGCCCUCACCAGACAGCUGAACCUGUGGGCACCUUGACCUCGGACUUCCGGCUCUGGAGCUGUGAGGAAUAAAUUUCUGUUUUUUAUAAAUUACCCAGUCUCAGGUAUCUUGCUAAAGCAGCCCCAACAAACUAAGACAAAGUUGUCCCAAGAAGAGGACACUCGAACGUCUCAGAAGUAGAAUGGCCUCCUUGGAGUAGGAAGCCCCCAGCCUGGAGGGGAUCCCGGAAGGGACGUUAUGACCACAUAACAAGUGUGACCAGUACCAGGGCAGAGAGGGACACUGCAGACGGGCUCUCUCAUUCGAUGCCCCUCGAGAGCCCAGCCUCCAAGAGGCCCCGAGUUUUCAGUGGGCUUCCAGUUGCUGGAAAGCAAGAAUGCACCAAGGGAGCCCAUCUGUCAGUCAGACAAGUAAUUAAGGAAAGUAGGUGCUUUCAAUACCAGGUAAUGUCAGCACCAGGGGCUGUACACAAAGCCGGGUUAUUUUUAGUAUUCGGGGAAGGCACAUUCUUCUUCUGAUAAUAAGAAUAAAGAAAGCAAUUAGAACCUCCAAGAAAAUGAAAAGCUGUGCAGAAAAGCUGCAGCCCAAAUGUAAAGCAAUGAAGCACAGCCGCCUUUGAGCAACUGAUGGGCAUGGAAAAUUAAACACAUUUGACCUUGGCGCUAAGAACCCCUUCUUCAUGGCCUGUGUGUCACAACAUUGGAUCAGUAGGGAAGCAAAUGUAAUCCUUGGAUCUUCCUUGCUCAGCAGUGACAGUGGCCUGUGUUCCCACAGGCAUGGGAAUGUAACAUCAGUUUACUGACUUUUUGUUUAACUUUUAGCGUCAAUCUAUAGACAAAAUGCAACCGUUGCAAUGAUGACUUCAGAACAGUAUCUAAAUAUUGUCAUCUUUUAAAAUGCAAGACUAUUAAAGAUUUAAGUUGAAAGGUAGAGGAUUGAGGAGUGGAAUAGGAGAGACAGGAGUGAAAAGUUUCUCCUUUUAUACAGCGGGUAGUCAUUAGGUUGUAUCUCCACUCCAUGGAGUAGGAAGUGAGGUUUAUUAGUUAGAGCUCGAAUGUAAUCAGUAGAACCAAGAAUAUUUUCAUUAGCAAAAACCAGGAAGAGUGGGGAGGGAUGAAAGGGAGCUGUAUAAGUGACCUAAAACCUUAUUUUUCGUAGGUGAGUGGAUUCGUUCCCUAGGGCUGCCAUGACGAACUACAAGAAACUGGGCGACUUAGGCGACAUGCAGUUGGCAUCUCACCGUUCUGGAGGCUGCGUGUGAGUCACGGUGUCGCAGUGUCGGCUUCUGCGGGCCGUGAGGGAAGACCUGUCCCAGGCCUCUCCCCAGCGUCUGCUGGCUUGCUGGUGACCUUCGCUGGACCCUGGCUUGUGGAUACAUCACUGCGACAGCUGCCUUCGUCUCCGUCUGAUGCUCUCCUGCGACUUCACCUUGUCUUCCCUCUGUGUCCAAAUUGCCCCUUUGUAUAGACAGCAAGAAUUCUAAAUCUGAAUUUGUCCUUCCAGGUGGUUAUGAAGAAACAAUUGUCAAGGUAGAAGAAUGGGACAUAUUAAAUAGUUUGUAGGAUUUGUAACUUUAAAAUAUUUAGACGCAUGGUAUGUGGGCCUCCAACUGUACCCUUGCCCCAGGCCCUGCAAAUGUCGUAGGCGGCCUGGCAGGUGUGACCACAGUGAAGGAGAAAGGAAACCACCAGUUGCUGCCUGUAGAGAGCGGACAGGGGCGGGGAAGGAUGGGAGAGAGAGCAUAGUGGCACUCUGUUGGGAGCCUCUUGGUCAAUGUGAUUUUCUGCUUUGCCACUUGCAUACUUCACUUUGCUAAAGCUUAGGAAAAUUAUUUAAGUUCCCACCUCUCCUUGGAAUCUUCCUGAUCCCCAGCUCUCACCUUCCUUCUCUGAACUUCCACAACGCUCGGCAGCUGUGCAGCAUUCUUCCUGCCCCGACCUGCUCUCCCAGAGGCCUCUGCUGCCAACACCACCUGCCCAGGCCGACUAGCUGCCCACUUUCUAAGAGGUUCCCCUGGGCUGAAUCAACAAGCCUCAUUGCCAGGCCUCAGUGGUCUGCAGCCCCAGCCGAGCCCCUCCUCCACCCAUCUCUGGCCUGGUGCUCCCACCUGUACCUCCCCACGUCCCUUCAGGGCUGGGAGAAGCCCCUGCCCGCAGCCUCUGUCUGGUGGCGGGGAGGGGGAGCAGCACUGUGGAGCGCCUGGCGCCUGGCGCGUUAGUGAGGAGCAGGCGUCUGCGGCACCAAAUGGC
ensembl:lincRNA